rnacentral:rRNA from 1 species
GGGGUACUCGAGUGGCGAACGGGUGAGUAACACGUGAGUAACCUACCCUUGACUUUGGGAUAAUUUCAGGAAACUGGGGCUAAUACCGGAUAGGAGCUCCUGCUGCAUGGUGGGGGUUGGAAAGUUUCGGCGGUUGGGGAUGGACUCGCGGCUUAUCAGCUUGUUGGUGGGGUAGUGGCUCACCAAGGCUUUGACGGGUAGCCGGCCUGAGAGGGUGACCGGCCACAUUGGGACUGAGAUACGGCCCAG